rnacentral:snRNA from 8 species
UUUAAAUGGAUUUUUUGAACAGGGAGUUGGAAAUGGGGGUUGUUCCGUCCGCUCCACGCAUCGACCCGGUAUUGCAGUACCUCCGGGAACGGUGCAACACUU